AGUGAACGCUGGCGGUAGGCCUAACACAUGCAAGUCGAACGGCAGCACAGUAGGAGCUUGCUCUUACGGGUGGCGAGUGGCGGACGGGUGAGGAAUACAUCGGAAUCUACUUUUUCGUGGGGGAUAACGUAGGGAAACUUACGCUAAUACCGCAUACGACCUACGGGUGAAAGCAGGGGAUCUUCGGACCUUGCGCGAUUGAAUGAGCCGAUGUCGGAUUAGCUAGUUGGCGGGGUAAAGGCCCACCAAGGCGACGAUCCGUAGCUGGUCUGAGAGGAUGAUCAGCCACACUGGAACGGAGACACGGUCCAGACUCCUACGGGAGGCAGCAGUGGGGAAUAUUGGACAAUGGGCGCAAGCCUGAUCCAGCCAUACCGCGUGGGUGAAGAAGGCCUUCGGGUUGUAAAGCCCUUUUGUUGGGAAAGAAAAGCAGCAGGUUAAUACCCCGCUGUUCUGACGGUACCCAAAGAAUAAGCACCGGCUAACUUCGUG
rnacentral:rRNA from 1 species